ACUCAUUUGAAUGUUGCUUCAUCUUUUUUUUUUUUUUUUUUUUUUUUUUUUUCUUAUCACUAGUAAAACUUUUGGACAGGAUUUAGAACGCUAGAUAAAGUCAAAAAGGUUCCCUUU
rnacentral:ribozyme from 1 species